CUCCUUUUUCCGAAAUUGCUCUCGCGCGUUCGUCCUCCGCCCACCCGCUACCGAUUCAAUUUCCUCGUCCGCGAAUUAAAGUAAUUUCCUGCACAUCGUAAAGAGCGUUUACGAUCGCGGGUAAUAACUCGUCGCGAAAGUACGCGCUCGCUCCCAGCAAGGUAAAUCGGCGUAAAGACACGUUUCAGCAAUAAAGCGACCGUGAAAUACGGUAUCUUGCGCCCGCAGGGAUACACGCGUGAACGUGCACGCAGAAUGAACACGUAUUUAUCCACGCGCGAUGAUUUAAGCGUCGUCGAACGACAACGGCCGCACCUGACACGCUCGACGAUCGAAAAACGCUCGAAAAGGACUCUCGCAAUUUUCACUGCGAAAUACUGUUACAACCGCGAGCACCUUUUGACGAGGAUGUACGACGCGGCGUGUACCACGGAUGGGCAAUGCAUUUUUUUAUUUAUUUUUUUAGCAGAUGACAAAUGAAGCCAACAGCGAUUUAUUUGCGUCGUCCGUUACUCGGAUAAAAAUGUUAUUCGCUCAACGUGAAAUGUAAUUUCAUUCCGACGCGGUUCGGAUUGCGAGCGGAGCUUUCUUGCAGUAACAGGGCAAUGAAAUUAUAGCAGAAGAAGACUUUCAUCGGAGUAAUGGGAAAUUACGCUUUCGUUUACCCGAGCGAAAAAUUUCGCUUUUCCAUAUUUACAGAAAGCUAGCACAAUUACUUCGGUUAAGAAAAUUUAAUGAACUGCAGGUGCACCGUUGAUGGAGUUAGAGGGCUUCGUUUGAGGUAAGAAUUUCUAUGAACUUGCUUUGAUGCUGCAAGCUUAAAGCCUCGACGAUCGAUUCACGCUUUUACGCGACUACCUUUUACGUUAAUAACGCGAUAAUUACUUCAAUUAUUAUUCUCUGCAGACAUUAUUCAAUUUAUAUUCACGUUUACGACUCAAAAUAAUAUAGUAAAAUACUCCGUGCACCGUUCCAGAAUUUCUAAAAAGAAUAUUUGUUCAAGCCGACAGUUGGCAGCUUCGCAGUGUCUCGUCGCGUCUCGCAUGUACGUCGGUGUCUUUUUUCGCGCGAUCAACGAUACCAGAAGUCUGCUGACUCGGAAAGCGCAGUUCGUCGAAGAAAAAACGUUCAGUGCUUCGCACCUUUUCCCAAAGGCCGUUGGACCUCGUUUCACGCGAGGCGAUAGGGGAAGAGCAAUCGCGACGAUCGAAAGCGCGAUUUCCGUCCCUCGAAAGCGACGUAAACGCGCGCUGAUAAAGCACGGCAGCUUUAUGAUUGUCGAUAUCGCGGGCCGACCCUCCCGAGAGCUCGGUAUCGUUCACGAGCAAGGAACACACGCGUGCGAUACGUGCACCGAGCGAGGCUGGCGUAUUCUUUCGCUGGGACCGGCUGUGGGAACGACUCGAUAAUAAGUUCGCGCGAAACGUCCGGUUCGAGGCGAGUUACGGUCAACCGGAAGCGAUCGCGAACUUAGGGCGAUCACCUGCGCUGCCCUCCGAGGGUUUUCAAGCAGCUUGUUACCGAUUCUAACUGUUACGUUGAGUUAGUUCAAAUAAAGGAUUUCCCAAAGAUGGUUCCUUGCCAUCUUCUAAGUGGAGUAUUCGAGAUUGAAAAGCAGCGACAUGAAAGCGUCUCGAAAGAAGCCAAACGUGUGCCCAAAGGAUUAAUCGCUAUUGCGUUCUAUUCGCGUUGGGACAAUAUGGCGGCGAAAUUGGGAGCCUGGCGAAGGGAAGUCGCGAAAAGUUAAUCCCUGCAUAUUUUAUUCGGCCGAACUUCCCUAGAGGGGAGCGAUAUUGUACGUUUCAUUUCGCUGUUAAAAUCUCCUAGGUUAUAUUCACGAACGCCAAACUAAUAAGACCUUAUGAAAGACAUUUAACUGAAAAUUGAACAGAACAUAAAGCAAAUAAAUAACGAAAUAAUUCGAAUUCUACGCGCCUCGGAACGUCCACCAUCUCCAUUAUACGUCCAUGCGGCACGAAGCCUUCGAAACAAACCGUAAUCACGCCGUAGGUCGAGCAUUAUUUGUAACGUGAGAAUGAUUAAUCCGAGCGGAAUAUUAUAAGAGCAACGAGUGAUUCAUUCGAGCACAGUUUAUAACAGUAAUAAAUGAUUCAUUCUCGCGCCUGCUAAAAGCACGAAAAUGGAGAUAAAUUUUGCAACAAAUUAGGUCCCACGCGAACCAUUAACACAGACGGAUAAAAAUAAUAAUUUCCUCAGCUAUGGUAUCAUAAAUCUGUCGUUUCGUACGCGACUCGAACGAGAAAGCAUCGACGUAUUACCGUAUCGAUUGUCCGUCCUCGAGCGAUACCGGACAAGCCGCCAUCACCUCGCUAACUCUCGCGAGCGCUUGAUUCGCGGACAUCCAAAGCAAAACUCUCGCGUGGGUGGUUUAGUGGUGGGAACGAUGCUCUCGUAAAUGGAUUUUAACAAGGUGUUCGUUCACAUUAUCGUGUAAACGUUAAAAAACAAAAUUCGGACAUCCGAAUAUAAUUUAAUCCUGUACCUACUCGGUUCCCAAACUACUUACACUUUCGAGAACGCUGUAUGCCUGCCAUUGAAUCGUCUCCGCCCCUUCGAGGAAGUACAAGCGAAAGUUCGACGAAUAAUUAACGCGAAGUGGAAAGUGAGAGCGUGAAAGAACCAAAGGGCACGAACGAGGGUAAAAAGAAAGGGCCGCGACAAGCUUAUUGCGCCACGAUAACGACACUGCCACGGAGACUCGGAUUUCAACACCGGAAACGAGGACUCGGAUUUCGUACCCGACUGCACUUCGAAAUCCAUAACACGAAGAAUAAUAACUACUACAGAUUGCGGGUGCAGUCACGUGCAUAAUUUCGAUGACAAGUAUCUCGUCUGAACGUGUUUCCCAUCGAGUUGUACAGCGAAUUUUAUUCGAACGUGUUUGCCUGUUCCAGCGUCGAAAUCACCGCCGAAAACAGA